rnacentral:piRNA from 1 species
UGAAAGGUGCCAUACUAUGUAUA